rnacentral:rRNA from 1 species
UACGUAGGGUGCAAGCGUUGUCCGGAAUUAUUGGGCGUAAAGGGCUCGUAGGCGGCCAACUCAGUCGGACGUGAAAUCCCUCGGCUUAACCGGGGAAUGGCGUCCGAUACUGGAUGGCUUGAGUUUGGGAGAGGGAUGCGGAAUUCCAGGUGUAGCGGUGAAAUGCGUAGAUAUCUGGAGGAACACCGGUGGCGAAGGCGGCAUCCUGGACCAACACUGACGCUGAGGAGCGAAAGCCAGGGGAGCAAACGGG